AUUGAACGCUGGCGGCAUGCCUUACACAUGCAAGUCGAACGGUAACAGGUCUUCGGAUGCUGACGAGUGGCGAACGGGUGAGUAAUACAUCGGAACGUGCCCGAUCGUGGGGGAUAACGAGGCGAAAGCUUUGCUAAUACCGCAUACGAUCUACGGAUGAAAGCGGGGGAUCUUCGGACCUCGCGCGGACGGAGCGGCCGAUGGCAGAUUAGGUAGUUGGUGGGAUAAAAGCUUACCAAGCCGACGAUCUGUAGCUGGUCUGAGAGGAUGAUCAGCCACACUGGGACUGAGACACGGCCCAGACUCCUACGGGAGGCAGCAGUGGGGAAUUUUGGACAAUGGGCGAAAGCCUGGUCCAGCCAUGCCGCGUGCAGGAUGAAGGCCUUUGGGUUGUAAACUGCUUUUGUACGGAACGAAAAGCCUCUUUCUAAUAAAGAGGGGUCAUGACGGUACCGUAAGAAUAAGCACCGGCUAACUACGUG
rnacentral:rRNA from 1 species